rnacentral:lncRNA from 1 species
UAUGUGACGACUUUUAGAGAUUUUUAUUUUGGAUUUUGUCAUCUUUUUUUAAUCUCUUCUAGAAGAGUGACGGCGGAGAUUUUUCCCUCGAGUGUCUCUAUGCCCUCUCUUCCUCUUUGUAAAUCUGUAUCGAAAUAUAAUAGAAAUUCACUAGUAAAAAUCUGUCGCACAGCCAUUAUAGUGCCACGGUAAAACCGUGGCUAAAUUAAAAAAGCCACGAUAAGUGUGUUGCUGAGUUAUUAUAUUAAAAAAAAAAAAAAAACAAAAACGCAAAUGUGUAUAGUUGUGCGCGUACGACGCGGUUGUUUUGUCUUUUUUAAAUAUAAAAGAUAAUUAAAAGUGAGUCCGUGUAACUCAUCCCCUCAUCAUCACAUAUAUCUAUAUAAAGAGGUCUUUCUUUCUCUCAAGUCAUCCAUUGCAGCUCUCAAGAACAAAAGAAAAAAUCAGAGAAUUCCAGAUCCUUCUUCUUCUCUACAAAUCACUCACCUGAUACUCCAGCAAGACUUCCGAAUAUAAUUGAUAAUGAUCUCCGUUGUAAUCAUCACUGGUCUACUAGUGGAGUACACAGCAGCUCUCGCAAAACUCACCGCAGGGAUUAUUCCGAGACGGCAAGGAGACAGCAACGUAGUACGAGUUGGUGGUUUCGUCUUGUCUUGUCCUUC